rnacentral:rRNA from 1 species
UACGGAGGGGGCUAGCGUUGUUCGGAAUUACUGGGCGUAAAGCGCACGUAGGCGGCUUUGUAAGUUAGAGGUGAAAGCCCGGGGCUCAACUCCGGAACUGCCUUUAAGACUGCAUCGCUAGAAUUGUGGAGAGGUAAGUGGAAUUCAGAGUGUAGAGGUGAAAUUCGUAGAUAUUCGGAAGAACACCAGUGGCGAAGGCGACUUACUGGACACAUAUUGACGCUGAGGUGCGAAAGCGUGGGGAGCAAACAGG